UACGAAGGGGGCUAGCGUUGCUCGGAAUGGCUGGGCGUAAAGGGCGCGUAGGCGGAUGGCACAGUCAGAUGUGAAAUUCCUGGGCUUAACCUGGGGGCUGCAUUUGAUACGUGUGAUCUGGAGUGAGGAAGAGGGUUGUGGAAUUCCCAGUGUAGAGGUGAAAUUCGUAGAUAUUGGGAAGAACACCGGUGGCGAAGGCGGCGACCUGGUCCUUAACUGACGCUGAGGCGCGAAAGCGUGGGGAGCAAACAGG
rnacentral:rRNA from 1 species